rnacentral:rRNA from 1 species
UACGGAGGGGGCUAGCGUUGUUCGGAAUUAUUGGGCGUAAAGGGCGCGUAGGCGGCCGAAUAAGUCUGACGUGAAAUCCCCCGGCCCAACCGGGGAACUGCGUUUGAUACUGUCCGGCUCGAGUCCGGGAGAGGGUAGUGGAAUUCCCAGUGUAGCGGUGAAAUGCGUAGAUAUUGGGAGGAACACCGGUGGCGAAGGCGGCUACCUGGACCGGUACUGACGCUGAGGCGCGAAAGCUAGGGUAGCAAACAGG